rnacentral:sRNA from 1 species
GUAUAUCUUUGGUUCUAUCCUUAAGAUAUCAUUUCAAAUAAAUACACUAGUUCAAAUGUAUUUUUACUAUGACUGCAUUUUGCGGUGCGAUUCAAAUAGUAACAAAAAUACAUAAAUACAUAUGUAUAUGUAAAGAUUUUGAUACUGUUACAGCACUGUUGCGAUACGAUUUUGGGUGCGCCGUAUAUCACCAUUCGUAUCCAUAAUGUAUCUAAAGAUGGAGAAAAAGAAACAUUAAGACUAAACCAGCUACUAUUGU